UUAGAUUUUGGAGUAAAUCCGUUUUGAACAGCAGGUCUGUUUUAGAGACCUUGCUGUGAUUACUCUUUUCUCAACUCAUAGCUUCAUUACUUCUCGUUUCUAACCUUUAGUCCUUCUUAGGCGAGGUUUUGAAGUUUGCUCAAGCUUGGUAGCAUUAUUUGAUUGUUAGCCAUCCUUAAUACUCACUCAAGGUGAGUUCUCUCACACCGUUGUAUUGAUGAUUGUGUUUGCUAGUUAGCUCGUGUGUGAUUAUUUGAAUUUAUUAUAAAAGCAUGCUAUAUAAGUAUUGUUUUAAUUCGUACAUGUGCACUGUAUGUAACUAAUUAUGGAUAUGGGGACACCACCAAAGGAUACGGAUUUACCGGUGCGGUGGGUAGGUAAGAUCACCAACGUAAUACUCUUCGUGAGGUGCGGUGAUUAGGGCCAAAUGAUACGGGAUCUUCCCGGUGCGGUUCAAACCUACAAGUCCUUCUCGUAAUAUAGACAUUGAUUCGUUCUUUGCCUUUAUCAUUAUAAUUGGAAAAUGGAUUAGGGCUAGUAAAUAUGAAUGUUAGUACAAUGUCUGUGUUUGAAUUCACUAAGCUUCGUGCUUACGUUUUUCCCUUAUAACUUUUCAGGUGUUAAGAUUAAAGAGGCUAAGGCUUGACAUGGAGCAUCGGGACAUCGCUACUAGUUAUUUUGUUGGGACCUUAUUAUUAUUAUUACUUCCGCACUUAUUUUAUAUGAUUAUUAAGUUGAUGGAUUAUGUUAUGACUAUUUCUGUUGUUUUAAUUUAAUUUAAGAUGGGUUUUAAAAGUUUAAAAUUUUUGCAAAAAUUUGGGUGUCACAAGUUGGUAUCAGAGCCACAGUUUGAGGGAACUAGGCAUUCUUGUGGAUGUUCUAGACUCAAAUUUGAGGCUCUAUAAGAGUUUAUUUUCUUUUUAAAAUAUUUUUCCAAACUUCUGAAGACUAGUAGUGGAAGAUGUCGCGGUGUACCAGUCAGCCAGCCAAGUAAGCCUUAUUUCUUAUGUUAAAUGUUUAUGUUAAAUUGUUGACUAUGAAUUGGAUUCUACUAGCCUUAAAAUAUUAGAUUACACACUUAGUUAGUGUUAACAUGUGAGAGAGUUGUAAAAUUAACGGCUAGAGCGAACUGGAAAUUUUGAAACUAGACGCGAAUGCGAAAUUGGAACUUGUGUGGAAGGUAGUAGAAGGGCCCCUACUAUUUGAAACAUCGGUGCCGGUUUCGAGUCGGGGCAAGGUUGAAAAAUUUUCGGCAAGCUGAGUGUUUUGUCUUCCUUGAAAUAUCUAGACUGAAUUGUUUCUAAGAUUUUCCUUCUUCUGUGGAUACCAAUGGCUCCGCCUGCUCGACUUAAUCAGCUCCAAAUGGAGCAAGUUAGGGAUAUUGUCACUGAGGAAUUCAAUAACGGUUUCAACGAACUAAUCCCGGGUGUGACCAACGCAUGAUCAACCAAUUCGGUGCUCUUCUGGAUGAGCGCCUCGCGGCUAUUCUUGGGGAAGCAUUACUGGCUCUGCCUGUUCAGGAUUCAGCAUACUACUUCGAGAAGUUCAACAAGUGUAGCCUUCCUCUUUGGAAUGGUGAAUCCGACCCAAUUGCUGCUAAGCCCUAGGUGUCAAAUGUUGAGGGUGCCUUCAUAAGUGUUGGGUGUCCGGACCAGUACAAAGCAGUGAUCGCCAUGAAUCAGCUGUAAAAAAAGGGGAAAGACAUGGUGGAACACCAUCACCGCUCUAUUGAACGAAGAAGAAGUGAGGGCCAUGUCUUGGGCCCAAUUUGUGGAGAGGAGGCACAAUAUGUGCCUAAGGUGGAGCAGCAGCGUAUGCAGCAAGAGUUCAUGGCCUUACAACAGACUACCGAGUCCGUUAGUGACCUGAACGCCAAGUUCUUGGAGAUGCUAUCUUUUUGCCCCUCGUUUGCUGGGAACGAGGCCUGGUUAGGCAGCCGGUACACGGCUAUCCUACGUACCGAGAUUCGGGAAAUCGUUAGCAUGCAGGAGUUCUCGACUUUAUCUGUGAUCAUAAUGUAGCGAGGAGGAGGGAAAUCGAGUUGCUGACCCAGUCCAAGAGGAAGGCCAAUGACACCUCUUCCAAGACAUCCAGAGAUGCCCAGAAAAAGCAAAAGCAGGGUAGUAAGUCAAGGUAUGAGUAUAGGACGUCUUCAGGGCGAGAAAAAUAUGUUGAUAUGCUACAACUGCAAAAAGCCAGGGCAUCAUUGGAAGAAUUGUAGGGAUCCCCCUGCGAGUGCAGUACCUCAUAUUACUUCUGCACUUCCCAUCUGCUAUCACUGCAACGAGACGGGACACAAGAAGGCUGAAUGCCCGAAGUUGAAGACUGGUAAAGGAGACGGGGGUACAAAUCCUACAAUUACAUCGUCCUCUAAGGGAACCACUAUGGUGACACGAGGUCGUGCUCACCAGAUGAUUGUGGAGGAGCCGGUGAUUACAACGACAGUGGCAGGCACUUAUUUGCUAGAUUCUGAGCCCGAUGUUGUUAUGUUUGAUAGCGGUGCUACCCAUUCUUUUGUAUCUCACACAUUUAUUAAUCGUUUGGGGCGUAGUAUCGGAAAAUUGGCUCACCCAAUGGUUGUCGAUGUUGUCGACAACCGCACUAUUUAUGUCACCGAUGUUUAUCGGGGUUACACUCUCGAGUUUUCUGGAGUUGAAUUCCCCAUUGAUCUUAUCCCUAUUGCGAUGCGAGAGCUCUGCGUUAUCGUAGGCAUGGAUUGGCUUGAUGCGUUUGAUGCGGAAAUCCACUGUCGUAAGAAGCAAGUUCGUGUUCGAAACCCUAGAGGUGGAGAACUUAUUAUUCAGGGGGACAUUCCCCGCCUGGCUAUGGCUUCUUGCUCUUCUGCUAUAGCACUAGACGACGUUCCUAUCGUUUCCGACUUCAGCGAUGUCUUUCCGGAGGAACUCCCUGGCUUGCCACCUGUUCGGCAAGUGGAGUUUCGCAUUGAUUUGGUGCCAGGUGCGACUCCGGUAGCGAAAUCUCCUUACCGCUUGGCACCACCUGAAAUGAAAGAGCUCCAAGAUCAACUUCAAGAACUAAGUGAUAAAGGGUUUAUACGGCCAAGCUGCUCGCCUUGGGGUGCUCCUAUUCUCUUUGUGAAGAAGAAAGAUGGAUCCCAGCGAAUGUGUAUUGAUUAUAGGGAGCUAAACAAGCGCACGAUAAAGAAUAGGUACCCGUUGCCACGUAUUGACGAUCUUUUCGAUCAGCUUCAGGGAGCAUCUUGGUUUUCCAAGAUUGAUUUACGUUACGGUUACCAUCAGAUGCGGGUUCGUGAAGAAGACAUUGAGAAAACAGCAUUCCGUACUCNGGAGCUAAACAAGCGCACGAUAAAGAAUAGGUACCCGUUGCCACGUAUUGACGAUCUUUUCGAUCAGCUUCAGGGAGCAUCUUGGUUUUCCAAGAUUGAUUUACGUUCCGGUUACCAUCAGAUGCGGGUUCGUGAAGAAGACAUUGAGAAAACAACAUUCCGUACUCGAUAUGGGCACUUUGAAUUCGUGGUGAUGCCUUUUGGGCUCACUAAUGCACCCGCAACAUUUAUAGAUCUCAUGAACCGGGUGUGUAGCCCGAUGCUUGACUGUUCGGUCAUAGUGUUCAUAGAUGACAUCUUAGUCUAUUCUAAGAGCAAAGAGGAGCAUCAGCAACACCUUCGGGAGAUUCUGGAAACUCUGGCAAGAGAAAGGCUUUAUGCUAAAUUUUCAAAAUGUGAAUUUUGGUUGGAAGAAGUUCAGUUCUUGGGGCAUGUGGUAAACAAACAAGGUAUCAAGGUCGAUCAAGCCAAGGUUGAUGCGGUUAAACAAUGGAAGAUUCCGAAAACACCUUCUGAAAUUCGCAGUUUCUUGGGUUUAGCCGGUUAUUACCGGAGGUUCAUUGAAAAUUUCUCUAAAAUCGCCUUACCACUCACCCGAUUGACCAAGAAAUCAAUGAAUUUCGUUUGGGGCCCGGAGCAGCAACUGGCGUUUGAUAAGUUAAGGAAACGAUUGUGUGAUGCUCCGAUUUUGGCCUUACCUGAUGGGGUUGAGGAUAUGGUGGUUUACUGUGAUGCAUCGCUUCAAGGUCUUGGUGCCGUGUUAAUGCAACGAGAUAGGGUGAUAGCCUAUGCCUCCCGACAGCUGAAACCCCACGAACGAAACUACCCCACUCAUGAUUUGGAGCUUGGGGCUGUUGUUUUCGCUCUUAAGAUUUGGAGACACUAUCUCUAUGGAGUGAAGUUUAUCAUAUACACUGACCAUAAGAGUCUAAAAUAUUUGUUCGAGCAGCGGGAUUUGAAUAUGAGGCAGAUCCGAUGGUUGGAUGUGGUAAAAGAUUAUGAUUGUGAAAUUCACUACCACCCCGGUAAAGCUAAUGUGGUAGCUGAUGCUCUCAGUCGUAAACAAUCUGCCGAACCGAUUCGAGCUAAGUGUCUCCGGAUCACGAUGGUGUCGUCUUUGUUAGAUCUAAUCCGGGACGCCCAAAAGACGGCAAUACUGGAGGAAAACAUCAGGCGUGAGAAGAUUGGGAAAGAGUUGCCUAAGAUGGAACGAGACGGGCGUGGUUUGCUGACUCGCUACGGUAGGAUUUGGGUUCCAUAUACCGGGGGAAAUCGGAAAACCCUAAUGGAUGAGUCUCAUAAGUCAAAAUUUUCUAUCCAUCCUGGUGCUACUAAAAUGUAUCGGGACCUUCAUGAGGCUUACUGGUGGCAUGGAAUGAAGAAUGAUGUGGCUCGAUUUGUGGAAGAAUGUAUGACCUGUCGGAAGGUCAAGGCGGAACACCAGAAACCGCAUGGGAAGUUGCAACCAUUGGAGAUUCCUGAAUGGAAAUGGGAGCAUCUAACCAUGGACUUCAUUACAAAACUUCCUAGAACUGCCCGAGGAUCAGAUACGAUAUGGGUGAUUGUUGAUCGUUUGACUAAGAGUGCUCACUUUCUGGCUAUAAAGGAGAGCUCAUCGGCGGAGAAAUUAGCCGAGAUCUUUGUUCGGGAGAUUGUCUCAUUACAUGGGGUGCCCGUUUCUAUCGUCUCCGAUCGAGACACCCGAUUUACCUCUCGGUUCUGGAGGAAGUUUCAAGAGGAAUUGGGCACACGAUUACAUUUUAGUACCGCCUUCCAUCCGCAGACAGACGGGCAGAGUGAGCGGACGAUUCAGACCUUGGAGGACAUGCUUAGGGCGUGUGCGAUUGAUUUUGGGGGUAGUUGGGAUGACCAUCUACAUCUAGCUGAGUUUUCUUAUAACAACAGCUAUCACUCGAGCAUUAAAAUGCCUCCGUAUGAAGCCUUGUACGGGAGGAAGUGCAGGACGCCCGUUUGUUGGGGCGAGGUUGGGCAGAGGGUACUUGGGAGUACCGAUAUCGUGCUACAGACUACGGAGAAAAUCCAAGUGAUUCGGGAUCAUUUGGUCACAGCGAGCAGUCGUCAGAAAAGUUAUGCUGACAAAAGACGCUCCAAUCUUGAGUUCCAGGUGGGAGAUUAUGUGUUGCUUAAAGUCUCCCCCUGGAAAGGUGUGAUUCGAUUUCGGAAGCGGGGAAAGCUCGGACCCCGAUUCAUUGGACCCUACAAGGUCAUAGCCCAUGUAGGGAAGGUGGCUUAUCGUUUAGAGCUUCCUGACGAGCUUAGUCUAAUUCAUAAUACAUUCCACGUGUCUCAGUUAUGAAAAUGCGUUGUUGAUGAGACCGCUGUGAUACCACUGGAGGACAUACAGAUUAACGAGCGUCUCAAUUAUGUUGAGAAACCAAUUGCUAUUUUAAAACGAAAGAUGAAAGCUCUCUGCAACAAGACUAUAAACCUGGUUAAGGUGCAGUGGCAACAUAGGAAGGGUUCGGAAUGGACUUGGGAGCCGGAAUGGGAGAUGCGGGCUCAUUAUCCGGAUCUGUUUCUAGGUGUUGACUUCGAGGAUGAAGUCCGUUCUUAGUGGGGGAGAGUUGUAACGCCUCGGUUUUUCUCGGUGCGUUUGGUUAUUUAUUUUUAAUUAUCCUUGUAACCUUGGGUUAAUUUAUUUAACCAAUGUCUGAUUUCUUAUGUUAUUGGACUCUUUUGAUCAUCUUGUAAACUCCUUUUAUUGAAGUCCAUGGGCUAUGGGCCUAUUUGCAAAGUCCAUCUAGUAAAUAGUACUUAAUGUGUUAAUUGAGUCAUUUGGAACACACACAAGAAAAACACUCUAAACCCUCCCUCUCUCUCUCUCUCUAAUCGUCCUCUAUCUCUUUGGGAUCAAGAUCAUCCAAGGAGAUGUUGUUUGGAGCUUAAUUCUUGUUCAUUUCCAGCCUUGAUUCAUAUUGGUAUGAACCUCCUUAUCAUUUCUUACAACUUGAUUCAUAACCUUGUUCUAGUUUUAUGAUUUCAUCUUCACUUCUUCUCCUUCUUAUUUGAUUUGUAAUUGUAUGUUAUACAUCAUCUCAAGGUCCUAUCUUCACCCCAUAUAUGGUGGAUGAUGGAUCUAGGGGAUUACAUGUGGCAAAAGAUCAUGGAAACCCUAAAAGGGAGAAUGAUGAUUUUAUGUGCUUAUGUUUAUUUUCAUGUUGAUUAUUAUUACAUCCUUGUGGCUAAAUGAAAUCCUAAUGAUCCCUAACCCUUUUUAGUACCACCAUUAUCAUGGGGACUGAAUUGGGAUGAUGAACACAUCUUAAAAUGUGUUUCAAAAGGAGAAGGAUGGAUAAGCCAAAAAGGAAUCACGGGUGGCUACGAUUCUGUUUUCCAUCAGAUCUGUAGUCAUUUUGUAAAACUCAUAUCUGGAGCUCUAGAACUCAAACGGACCCCAAACCAGUUCCAAAAGUUCACAAAUUGAGUUGGCUAACUUUCUUAAGAAGGCCAACCUCACUGAUAAGGGCUUUAUCUAUGUGAAAGAAUGGCAUCUUUGCUGUUAGGUCUGAUCCGGGUCUGUUCUGAUAUGUCAUUUUGUUUUCAUCAUUUCUAAGGCUUGGAAAAGGAUCCAGAGUGAUUCCAAGUUUCUAUAUGUUCCUUAUAUUAUGAAUUUAAGAUCUGGAGAAUAUGGGGUGUUAUUUCCAAUUAUAAAUUGGUUAGAAUGGAUCCACACUCCAGGUCAGUGGGCAGUCACCAGCUUUUGCUAGUGCUGUGAUUGUCCACAAUGUGAAUUUUAUAUCUGGAGUUUGAGAGAUGCUUUUCAUUCAAUUCCAACUCUGAGACUUUCACUUGUAUGUCCUUUACUUCUCUUAAUUUUCUUUUGGACGAAUUCUACUCACAAGUUGGGUAGAAUUGGCCAACAUCACUUGACUGUAUUGUUGGAGACAGAAGUGAUACACCAUUUUGUAAAAUUCAUAUUUAAUUCAUCUUUUGGAGUUAGAAUGAGUUCUUUAUAGUUAUGGAAUCCUGAGCAAUCAUAGUUUCCUAUAAAAUUUAGUUAAAGCUAUGUUUCUGUUUUAGAUUUUGGAGUAAAUCCGUUUUGAACAGCAGGUCUGUUUUAGAGACCUUGCUGUGAUUACUCUUUUCUCAACUCAUAGCUUCAUUACUUCUCCUUUCUAACCUUUAGUCCUUCUUAGGUGAGGUUUUGAAGUUUGCUCAAGCUUGGUAGCAUUAUUUGAUUCUUAUCCAUCCUUACUACUCACUCAAGGUGAGUUCUCUCACACCGUUGUAUUGAUGAUUGUGUUUGCUAGUUAGCUCGUGUGUGAUUAUUUGAAUUUAUUAUAAAAGCAUGCUAUAUAAGUAUUGUUUCAAUUCGUACAUGUGCACUGUAUGUAACUAAUCAUGGAUAUGGGGACCCCACCAAAGGAUACGGAUUUACCGGUGCGGUGGGUAGGUAAGAUCACCAACGUAAUACUCAUCGUGAGGUGCGGUGAUUAGGGCCAAGUGAUACGGGAUCUUCCCGGUGCGGCUCAAACCUACAAGUCCUUCUUGUAUUAUAGGCAUUGAUUCGUUCUUUGCCCUUAUCAUAUAAUUAUAAUUGGAAAUGUAUUAGGGUUAGUAAAUAUGAAUGUUAGUACAAUGUCUGUGUUUGAAUUCACUAAGCUUUGUGCUUAUAGUUUCCCUUAUAACUUUUCAGGAGUUAAGAUUAAAGAGGCUAAGGCUUGACAUGGAGCACCGGGACAUCGCUACUAGUUAUUUUUGUUGGGACCUUAUUAUUAUUAUUACUUCCGCACUUAUUUUAUAUGAUUAUUAAGUUGAUGGAUUAUGUUAUGACUAUUUCUGUUGUUUUAAUUUAAUUUAAGAUGGGUUUUUAAAGUUUAAAAUUUUUGCAAAAAUUUGGGUGUCACAGAGAAUUAGAGAGCAUUUGGAUCUUGAAGGAGUGUUUGUUGAAGAAAUCUUUGAAGAUUAAGAGGCUUGGAACAAGGGGCUUUGCAAGGUUUUGGCUUAUUCUUCUGUUGGAGUCUUCUUUGG
rnacentral:lncRNA from 1 species